GGGUGAGUAAUAUAUCGAUAACCUACCCUCGAGACGGGGACAACAGCUCGAAAGGGCUGCUAAUACCCGAUGGUUCUGGGUUGAUGCAAUCUUCCCAGCUAAACGGUGGGGUCCUUCGGGACCUUCUGCUCGAGGAGGGGUCGAUAUCCUAUCAGCUAGUUGGCGGGAUAACAGCCCACCAAGGCUUUGACGGGUAGCCGGACUGAGAGGUCGACCGGUCACACUGGCACUGAGACACUGGCCAGACUCCUACGGGAGGCUGCAGUCGAGAAUCUUCCGCAAUGGGCGAAAGCCUGACGGAGCGACGCCGCGUGCAGGAUGAAGGCCCUCGGGUUGUAAACUGCUGUCAAAUGUUAGGAAUGGUUAGUCGCUAAUAACGGCUAACUUGACAAAGGCAUGAGAGGAAGUCACGGCUAACUUCGUGCCAGCAGCCGCGGUAAGACGAAGGUGGCAAGCGUUGCUCGGAAUCACUGGGCAUAAAGCGCGCGUAGGUGGCUUGAUAAGUCGGUGGUGAAAUCCCAUGGCUCAACCAUGGAACUGCCGUCGAUACUGUCAGGCUUGAGGGCGGUAGGGGAGAGUGGAACUCCUGGUGUAGCGGUGAAAUGCGUAGAUAUCAGGAGGAACGCCGGUGGCGAAAGCGACUCUCUGGGCCGUUCCUGACACUAAAGCGCGAAAGCUAGGGGAGCAAACAGGAUUAGAUACCCUGGUAGUCCUAGCCGUAAACGAUGGGCACUAGGUAGAGGUGGUUUCGAAGCCUUCUCUGCCGGAGCUAAUGUAUUAAGUGCCCCGCCUGGGGAGUAUGGUCGCAAGGCUAAAACUCAAAAGGAAUUGACGGGGGCUCACACAAGCGGUGGAGCAUGUGGUUUAAUUCGAAGCAACGCGAAGAACCUUACCCGGGUUUGAAAUGCUAGGAUUAGCCUCCUGAAAGGGAGGUGACGCCCUUUUGGUGGAACUAGCACAGGUGUUGCAUGGCUGUCGUCAGCUCGUGUCGUGAGAUGUCGGGUUAAGUCCCUUAACGAGCGAAACCCUUGUCCUUAGUUGCCAGCACUUCGGGUGGGUACUCUAGGGAGACUGCCGUUGUUAAAACGGAGGAAGGUGGGGACGACGUCAAGUCAUCAUGGCCUUUAUGUCCGGGGCUACACACGUGCCACAAUGGCCGGUACAAAGGGAUGCAAAGCCGUGAGGUAGAGCAAAACCCAGAAAGCCGGUCCCAGUUCGGAUUGGAGGCUGCAAUUCGCCUCCAUGAAGUCGGAAUCGCUAGUAAUCGCGGAUCAGCUACGCCGCGGUGAAUAUGUUCCUGAGCCUUGUACACACCGCCCGUCAAGCCACGAAAGCUGGUAGUACCUGAAGUCGUGCACCCAACCCGCAAGGGAGGGAAGCGCCCACGGUAAAACCGGUGAUUGGGACUAAAUCGUAACAAGGUA
rnacentral:rRNA from 1 species